AAGUAUGUAUAUGACUAUAUCUUACCCUUCAUCUCAAUCUAAUUUGUGUAUUAGAUUCAGUUACUAUCUGUUCUGGCUUAUUAUUAUCCUUGCAUUUAUAUUCGACUAGGUUAUCUCAACCUUUAUACAACUUUCUUAAGGUUUAACAAAGUUUAAACAAUGUUACAUUAUGUUCCUUAGGUUGUGUUUACUUUUAAAUCAAUUAACUUUCUUUUCCUUGUAAUUAAAAACAUUCAUCACUAUUCUUGUUCUGAGGCUGGCGCUGCGGCGCCAGCUUUAUACUCACAUCUCGCGCUGCGACGCGAGCUUAUAGUAGCAUUGUCCCGGACAUGGCGUUGCGACGUGAGUCCUUACUUGGUGAGCCGCGCUGCGGCGCGCUCUCGCAGUGUGCUCGGACAUUGUUACGCUCUGCGGCGUGACCAAUUUGGCCUUGGGUUGGCGCCGCGGUGCCAACUCUGUGCACCAGAAAAAUUUUAGUUUUUGAAAUUUUGUGAACUUCCCGGACGCAUAAUUUCUUCGUUAUAAGUUCAAAUUGGCUCGUUCAAAAGCCUAUGCAAGAAUUUUAUUUAUUUGACUUUGUUUGCUAAAAAUUCACCUAUUGGUUCAUUUUUAACAAAAACGAUAAACGUUCGUGAACGUUCAACGCUCGUUUCUUCGUUCUAAGUCAGAAUUUGGUCAUUUUCGAGUCCGCAACUCUUAAAUGCCAAAUAUGACUUAUCUCCAUCGGAAAACAAUGGUUCCGAGUUCAAAC
rnacentral:lncRNA from 1 species